rnacentral:rRNA from 1 species
CAGCACCUCAAGUGGUCAGGAUGAUUAUUGGGCCUAAAGCAUCCGUAGCCGGCGCUGUAAGUUUUCGGUUAAAUCUGUACGCUCAACGUACAGGCUGCCGGGAAUACUGCAGCGCUAGGGAGUGGGAGAGGUAGACGGUACUCGGUAGGAAGGGGUAAAAUCCUUUGAUCUAUUGAUGACCACCUGUGGCGAAGGCGGUCUACUAGAACACGUCCGACGGUGAGGGAUGAAAGCUGGGGGAGCAAUCCGGAUUAGAUACCCGAGUAGUCC